AAAUUUUGCCACCACAAUUCAAUUCGCACAGGCGCCGAGCGAUCUCGACAACUUCUCGGAGGAACACGCUUCGGCGAGUGUCAUCGAAACCACUUCACAGCUGCAGAAGUCAAAGCAGGGCGGCAAGCACAAGCACAAGCGCAAACAUAAGCAGGCCGCUUCGACGUCGUGCCCGCAAGAGACUUCCAGUCCUCCGGUGGCUGCGACAGGGACAACUGCCACUGCCGCUUUACCGACCGGCAACUUGGAUGAAUCGACUGUACAGGAGCUCCGGCGGGACAUUUCCAAGCGUCGCGCGUCACACGUGUCUGUGCGUUCCCUACGGCAAGUGGCCGAUGCGGCCAAGGUUCCGGCCGAACACGACAUCUUCUCGGAGCAACGCUCGUCGGAAAGCAACGCCCCAGCCGGUUGCGUCAGGCAAUGUGGGCGCCAAC
rnacentral:lncRNA from 1 species